rnacentral:rRNA from 1 species
GCGGACGGGUGAGUAACACGUGGGCAACCUGCCUAUAAGACUGGGAUAACUUCGGGAAACCGGAGCUAAUACCGGAUACGUUCUUUUCUCGCAUGAGAGAAGAUGGAAAGACGGUUUACGCUGUCACUUAUAGAUGGGCCCGCGGCGCAUUAGCUAGUUGGUGAGGUAAUGGCUCACCAAGGCGACGAUGCGUAGCCGACCUGAGAGGGUGAUCGGCCACACUGGGACUGAGACACGGCCAGACUCCUACGGGAGGCAGCAGUAGGGAAUCUUCCGCAAUGGACGAAAGUCUGACGGAGCAACGCCGCGUGAACGAAGAAGGCCUUCGGGUCGUAAAGUUCUGUUGUUAGGGAAGAACAAGUACCAGAGUAACUGCUGGUACCUUGACGGUACCUAACCAGAAAGCCACGGCUAACUACGUGCCAGCAGCCGCGGUAAUACGUAGGUGGCAAGCGUUGUCCGGAAUUAUUGGGCGUAAAGCGCGCGCAGGUGGUUCCUUAAGUCUGAUGUGAAGGCCCACGGCUCAACCGUGGAGGGUCAUUGGAAACUGGGGAACUUGAGUGCAGAAGAGGCCCCAGUGGAAUUCCAAGUGUACGGUGAAAUGCGUAGAGAUUUGGAGGAACACCAGUGGCGAAGGCGACUUUCUGGUCUGUAACUGACACUGAGGCGCGAAAGCGUGGGGAGCAAACAGGAUUAGAUACCCUGGUAGUCCACGCCGUAAACGAUGACGCUAAGUGUUAGAGGGUUUCCGCCCUUUAGUGCUGCAGCUAACGCAUUAAGCACUCCGCCUGGGGAGUACGCCGCAAGG